AGACAAAAAAAAGAAUACAGACACUAAAGUCUACAUACUGCAUGAUUCCAUUUCUAUGCCAUUCUGGAAAAUGCAAAACUAUAGGAACAGAAAUCAAAUCAGUGGUUACUAGGGCCUGGGGUGAGGGAGGGGACUGAAUAUGAAGAGGAAAGGAAUUGCUUGGAGUAAUGGCAGUAUUCUGUACCCUAAUUCUGGUGGUGGUAGUAUUUAUAUGACAGUAUAUACUAAUCAGAACUCAUUGAACUGUUCAUCUAUAAGUUAAUUUUACUGUUAUGUGAAUUACACCUCAUUAAACCUAACCUUAAAAAAAAAACCAAUAGGAUAGAGAAAAGAUGUGAAAAUUUCUGUUUGCCACCUAGGUCUGAAUGAUAAAAAUGAUGUUCUUUAUAAUGUGCCAAGCUCCUACAACAGGCACGAUGCUAGUUACUCCUGUCUGUUACUGCCCCUGCAUCUCUUCCCACUCUCCCUUUGCUCCUUAGAUGUGGACUACACAGGCUCCCUUCCUGUCUCUCUAACUCAGAAAGAUUAUGGCAGCCUCAGGUUCUUUGCACUUAGGUUUCUCCAGGAUAUUUGCACAGUUGACUCCUUCUCAUCACUCAUGUCUUAGCUCUAAAGCUACCUCCUAGCAGAGGUGCUACCCUGAUCACCUUUUAGAAAUUAGCCAUACCCUAACCUGCAUAGCUAUCACAUUAUUUUGUAUUAUUUUUUCCCCAUAGCCCUUAUCACUGUCUGAAAUUCUUACUUGCUUGCAUGUUGUUGUCUGUGUCUCUCCAUUAGAAGACAAGCCUUUUUUCAGUUAUUUUUAUUUUCUAGAACAGUACUUGGCACAGGAGAUGCAAUAAAGAUUUGUUGAAUGGAUGUAGUCCUUGUGAAGUUAUACAAGGCAUCUUUAAGGAAUAAACUUUAUAUUCAGAUUUUGAAAGUAGAGCCACAUAAGCAAACAUUUAUUAUAUACCGUAUUUUCACUAGUCCCCCUCAUGAUUUGAAUUUCAUACCAUUAUUCACUUGCAAAGAACACUAGACUUAGAGUCAAGAGUCCCAGAUUCUAACCUCGAUCUUGCCACUAACCAAGACACUGCACCUUUGGGUCCAGAAUUCCAUUUCUAGAAAUUUAUUUCAAGGAAAAUAUUGAACACAUACAGAAACAUAUACACACCAGGAACCAGGAUGCUCAUCCGGUGUAUUUACAGUGGCAAAAGUUGGGAUGAAGACAAUUUCACACAAUGGGGCUUGGGCUAAAUAGACCCUGGUUUAUCCAUCAAUGUCACACUGUGAAUUCACGUGAAAUUUUAUAUUCAUUUUAUUACUUAUUCAACAGAUGUUCAUUUUGUCACUUAUGAUUAUCUACUAUUCUGUUAUUGAUUAUAUUCAUUUUGUAACUUAUUCAAUAGAUGUUCAUUUGGCACUUCCCAAUUGUAGGUACUAAGUGCUAAGGAUGCAGCAGUGAAUAAAAUGAACACUCUAUGCUCAUAAAUUUAUUUUGAUGGCGAAGAAAGACAAUAAAAAGAAAUUUAUACAUUAUAUAAUAUGAUAUCAGGUGAUAUCAGUUCUAUGAAGGAAAGAUAAUGCACAGUAAGGGGAUUGGGAUAUUCCCCAAGAGAAUGAUUGGAGCAUGCUACUUUAUAUAGAGUGACCAGGGAAGACCCCUCUAAGGUCAUAUUUGACCAGAGACCUGCAUGAAGUGAGGAAGUGAAGCAUGUGAAUAUCUUUGGAGAGAGAAUUCCAGGCAAAUGCAAUGGCCCUAAAGCAGAAGUAUGCUUGACAAUUUUGAGAGAAAGAAAUUCUGUAGCUAGAAAAAUGUGAGCAUGGAAAAAAAUGGUAAGAAAUGUUAUCAGAGAGGUAGACAAGGACUAGAUUUUGUGGCACCUUAUAUAGGUCAUGGUGAGGAUAGCAGAUUUUGUUGUGUGAUAGAAAAUCUUGGAGAACUCUGAAUAGAGUGGUCAGAUCUAUCUUGUAUUUUAAGAUAGUGUGGUAAGUAGGCUAAGGAAGGAUAGACAAAAGUGAUAGCAAGGAAGCUAUGUAGGAGGCUAUUUCAGAAGUCCAGGGGAAAUGGUGGUGGCAUGAAUGAGGACCCAGGCAGUGGGGUUGGUGAAAAUGAAUUCUAUUUGGGACUUGUACUUAUUUCCACAUAGAACUAAUACAAAAGGCUGGUGUGGUAGUGGGGAGUAUGGGAGAAAGAGGAGUAAAAGAUGAAUAUUUGGAUUUGAGCCUUUGCAAUUGAGUCAAGUUGCAACUGAGUGAAGAUGUGUAAUACUUUUGAAUAAAAGGGUCUGAGUGCAAAAGAGAGGAUGUUGCCUCUUCCUGGAUAUCACCUGCGUAGCAUCACCUAGAGAAUAUCCCGCUAAGAACUGAGAACUGAGUCCUGGGGCAAUUCGAAUGAUUGAAUGUGCCAAAGGCUGCUGAGAGUAGAAUAAAAUGAGGACUAAGAAUGCCCAUUGGAGGGAGAUCCCUUGUGGUACAAAGGGUUAAGGAUCUGCGGUUAACGAAUCCGACUAGGAACCAUGAGGUUGCGGGUUCGGUCCCUGCCCUUGCUCAGUGGGUUAAGGAUCCAGCGUUGCCGUGAGCUGUGGUGUAGGUUGCAGACGCAGCUCGGAUCCCAAGUUGUUGUGGCUGUGGCAUAGGCCAGCAGCUGUAGCUCUCAUUCAGCCCCUAGCCUGUGAACCUCCAUGUGCCACAAGUGUGGCCCUAAAAAGUCAAAAAG
rnacentral:lncRNA from 1 species